rnacentral:misc_RNA from 1 species
CACCACCUGCUCCGACACACGCGCACACACAAAACCCGCGUCCCUGACACCAUCUAUCCAGUGCACGACACACGCCCAUACGCGCACGUGCAAAGCAAGCGACACGCUCUCCUUUUCUCUUUCCACGGGCUCCUGCUGUUUGCUGCCACCAUACCCUCGUCAUCGCCUCUGUGCCAUAUACAUCUUGAACGUCGAGUACACUUCGCUGGAGCGAGGACGGCACACGCACACUCACUCACUCCUUGCAUACGUUCUCCCGCCUCAACAGUGCUGCCCUGCUCGGUUCUUGGGCGUCGUUGCGCACUGCUGCCCAUCAUGCCCGCGCUUGUCGGCCUCCGUCUGCCUCUCACAGUGCUGUGCCUCCUGGUGCUCAGCUCUGCGCUGUGCGUGACUGAGGCUCUCGGAUGGGGCUGCGUGGGUCACAUGCUCCUCGCCGAGAUCGCGCACCGCCAGCUGGACGAUAAAAACAAGGAAAAGAUCGAUGCGAUGGCGGAAGUGUUUGCGCAGAGCGGCCCGUUCCCGUCGUCUCCGGACAUGGUGCAGGCCGCAUGCUGGGCGGAUGACGUGAAGCGGUGGCGCCAGUAUGCCAUGGCCACGUGGCACUUUUUCGCCGCACCGUACAACCCCGAAAAUAUCAAUAUCACCGAUGCGAUCGAUACAGUGAACGCCGUUACGGUGUCACUCGAUAUGAUUUCUGCGCUUAAAAAUACCAAGGCGCCGCUGUACAUGCUGAACUUCGCUUGGGCGAACCUGGUGCACAUCUUUGGCGAUCUGCACCAGCCCCUGCACACCAUCUCCCGGUACUCCUCUGAGUACCCGCACGGAGACAACGGAGGCAAUUUGAUUCAGGUAAUGGUGGGCAGAAAGUGGUUGAGGCUGCAUGCCCUCUGGGAUAAUAUUUGCACUGGCGCGCCUCCACGCUACCAGCGGCCCCUCUCCUACACCGACCUCUUCGCCCUCGCUGCGACAGCGGACCGGCUGCUGGAAACGUACAUCUUUCCAGAAGCGUUGCGGACACUCGUGGACGUGAUGGCAAUUCAUGAAGAGAGCCACAUGUUUGCCGUAAACACCAGCUACCCCGGCGUAACACCAGGUGCGACUCUCAGCGAGGCCUACCUUGCUCGAUGCAAGCGUGUCGCUGAGGCUCGACUGACGCUUGGUGGCUAUCGCCUCGGCUACCUUCUGAAUACGCUGCUGUCGAGUAUCCAUGUCGACGAGGCCACACUGGAGGCGUACCGCGCUGCACGUCCGAAGCGAGGUGCGUAAACGGCGGGUGGCCAGCAGCCGCUACGGAUGGGAGGCCACUUGCACUGAUGCGGACUGUGUGCCUGCACCUGCCCAUGCACGGGCAUAGGUGAGCGCCGCGGAAAGCGAAGAAGGGCUGGCGUCCUAUUCCUUUUGCUGUGUGUGCAUGAACUCGGGCUAUGGAUCGGCAGCGGGGGACGAGAGCGAGGAACUGCCUUGUCGGCAGUAUGUGUCCGCUCUACUUCUGUGGCAUGCGCAGGUCCUCACCUCUUUUGUCUUCGUCUCUGUGCACGAAUCCCUGAUGACAGGGAGGGGGCGCACGCCUCAGCGCGUCGUAUCCUCAGGGCCCCGCACACCGACUCCGCCGGGAAGCCAGGCAGCCUCCCAGCCCCCUAUCCAUUGCCCAUGCCGAGCUACUUCCGGCGGUGACACGGUCACGCGCCCACGAAGUGGGGUGGGGGUGGAGGUGAGAGCGAUGUGCUGCUGCUGAUGUCUGCGGUGGGAGACUGGAUGGCGCUGCGUCGGAGCGGGCUGCGGCAGCGAGCACGUCUGCGCCGCCCACAUGAUGGACGAGGCGUGAGCGUGGCUGGAGGAUAUCCCACCCGGCGCUGGCACUGCCUCCUGGUGUGGGGAGCCUGCGCCACGGCGAGGGGGAUGCGCCAGGAGGGGUGGCGGCCGGCGGAGCGGGUGGUUUGCAGAGCUGGAGGCAGCGGCCGUGCUUGUGUGCCUGGGUGGGCGCAGCGCUGUGACGCGUGUGCCCACCGCUGCCUCGUCCCGCGCGGUGUGACCUGUGGCAUGUGACGGGGAGAGGUGGGGGCGCAUCGCGGAGGUGGGGUCGUGCUGCGCGGCAGAGGAUGAACACGGUAAAAGAUGCCUACUUCCGUCACCGCUGCACUCGGCGUCUGUGCCGUUUGAUGUGCUCCUGUUUUUUCUGCAUUGUUUAUUAUUAUUCUGUCUGUUUUCAACUCUGAUUUCACUUCGGCGUUGUGCUCAUGUCUUUUUUUUUCUCUUCGUUGUGGUGGUCUGUUUCGGCAACUCUGCUGCCUCGUGGUGACCUCGAUGUGCGUGGCUCUUCAUCGGCGUGACUGGUUUCUGGUGGUGCCCACGAGAGUUCUUUCGAUGGCUCUCUCCGGCCUCACUGCUGCCUUCUCAGAAUCUGAAUACGGACCCGCAAAUGGGCUGUGUUUACGUCUGCUUUCGUGGAAGGUAGAGGAAACUGUUUUUGGUGACCUGAAGGCAGGGCUGGGUGAGAAGACAGGGUGGAAAAGGGGGAAGCAUUGCCUACGGACGGUUUGUGUGCCUGCACCUGCACAUGCUCGCUGAUGAAUUCGACAGCGCUGUCGAGGUCGUGUGAGCGGAAGAGAAGGAAAGAGGGACAGAGACGAACGAAGUAACUGUUUUUUUUUUAUCGCUGCUGAUGAAAACGGAACAAUCGGCAGAAGCUCGAAAGCGACGCUGCCUUAUGGCGCGGAAGGAUCAGAGCAAAG